rnacentral:rRNA from 1 species
AUGGAGGGAAAACAACAAUGGGACAUGGUGGACCCUGGAUUCAAGCUUUGCACUCCAAUUCUGAAGAGAGCAGCAAGUAGACCAAGGAAGAGUCGAAUCAGACCUCGCAGCGAAGGAGCUGGACUUGGAGCGAGGAAGCGUAAGUGCACAAGGUGUGGUGGGUCUGGUCAUUUUGGUAAGUAUUGUGAUAACAUAGUAGAUCCAGCGUCUGGAGAGAGUUUGGAUGAAGGCUUCGAUGAAAAUGUUGGUCAGCAGCCGGUUGCCUCAACAGAUGAUGAAAAUGAUGGUCAACAGCCGGUUGCAUCAGAUGAGGAUUUUGACGAGGUUCCAAAUGAUGAUGGUCAA